CCUACGGGAGGCUGCAGUGGGGAAUAUUGCGCAAUGGGCGAAAGCCUGACGCAGCGAUGCCGCGUGAAGGAUGACGGUCUUCGGAUCGGAAACCUCUGUCAGCAGGGAAGAACGCUCACUGUGCUAAUCAGCAGUGAAUUUACGGUACCUGCAAAGGAAGCAUCGGCUAACUCCGUGCGAGCAGCCGCGAUAAUACGGAGGGUGCGAGCGUUAAUCGGAUUUACUGGGCGUAAAGGGCUCGUAGGCGGUAUGUCAAGUCAAGGGUGAAAUCUCCGCGCUCAACGCGGGAACUGCCUUUAAUACUGGUAAACUGGAGUGUGUGAGAGGAUAGUGGAAUGUCAGGUGUAGGAGUGAAAUGCGUAGAUAUC
rnacentral:rRNA from 1 species